rnacentral:rRNA from 1 species
CCUACGGGGGGCAGCAGUGGGGAAUAUUGCACAAUGGGGGAAACCCUGAUGCAGCGACGCCGCGUGAGUGAAGAAGUAAUUCGUUAUGUAAAGCUCUAUCAGCAGGGAAGAAAAUGACGGUACCUGAGUAAGAAGCACCGGCUAACUACGUGCCAGCAUCCGCGGUAAUACGUAGGGGGCAAGCGUUAGCCGGAUUUACUGGGUGUAAAGGGAGCGUAGACGGCGGUGCAAGUCUGGAGUGAAAGGCGGGGGCGCAACCCCCGGACUGCUCUGGAAACUGUACGGCGGGAGUGCAGGAGAGGUUAGUGGAAUUCCUAGUGUAGCGGUGAAAUGCGUAGAUAUUAGGAGGAACACCAGUGGCGAAGGCGGCUUACUGGACUGUAACUGACGUUGAGGCUCGAAAGCGUGGGGAGCAAACAGGAUUAGAUACCCGGGUAGUC